GAUGGAAGAACGCAGCGAAAUGCGAUAAGUAAUGUGAAUUGCAGAAUUCAGUGAAUCAUCGAAUCUUUGAACGCAUCUUGCGCUCCUUGGUAUUCUGAGGAGCAUGCCUGUUUGAGUGUCAUCAAGUUCUCAACCUGCAUCCUUUUUUGAAGGGAUGUGGAUUUGGAUUAUGGAGUUUGCAGGCUUGAUUGAAAGGUCUGCUCCUCUGAAAUGUAUUAGUGGCAAUGUGGAAAAGCUACUGUGGGUGUGAUAACUAUCUAUGCCUAUGCAGUGCUCUGCUGUGUGCCGCUUUGGAGGGAGAAAUUUAUUUCUGACAAACUUGACCUCAAAUCAGGUAGGACUACCCGCUGAACUUAAGCAUAUCAAUAAGCGGAGGA
rnacentral:misc_RNA from 1 species